rnacentral:rRNA from 1 species
GACGAACGCUGGCGGCGUGCUUAACACAUGCAAGUCGAACGGAAAGGCCCUGCUUGCAGGGUACUCGAGUGGCGAACGGGUGAGUAACACGUGGGUGAUCUGCCCUGCACUUCGGGAUAAGCCUGGGAAACUGGGUCUAAUACCGGAUAGGAGCCAUUUUUAGUGUGAUGGUUGGAAAGUUUUUUCGGUGUAGGAUGAGCUCGCGGCCUAUCAGCUUGUUGGUGGGGUAAUGGCCUACCAAGGCGGCGACGGGUAGCCGGCCUGAGAGGGUGGACGGCCACAGUGGGACUGAGAUACGGCCCAGACUCCUACGGGAGGCAGCAGUGGGGAAUAUUGCACAAUGGGCGCAAGCCUGAUGCAGCGACGCCGCGUGGGGGAUGACGGCCUUCGGGUUGUAAACUCCUUUCGCUAGGGACGAAGCUUUUUGUGACGGUACCUAGAGAAGAAGCACCGGCUAACUACGUG